UGACGCAUCUCCGAUGCAAAGCAACCAAGCAGAGAAAAUCCUCUUGCAAAAAUGAAGCAGACCUUCUAUAAGGAUGAAAUAGGAGCUAGUCGUGUCAACAAAGGAACAUCUUGAACAGAACAAAGCUUGUGCUUUGAAGCAGAAAGAGGUUGAUUCCCGAGACCACAGUGGCUAGAUUUUGGUGAGUAGAGCAAAAGUAUCAGAAGAUGAGGUUGAAGAGUUUGAUAAAAAUCAGAAAAUAAA
rnacentral:lncRNA from 1 species